rnacentral:lncRNA from 1 species
AUAAAUAUGUUGAUUUCUUGUCUUUUUUUUAUUUCUUACUUUCCCAUAUUAGGGGUGAUAGCCAAAGGGGUUCUGGUAAGAGAAAGGGGGACAAACAGAACUGGUAAAGAGGCCCCCCUGGCUCCAGGCCUGUCCAUCAGGAAGUAAAUUUUACAGGGCACCAAGCUUUGCCCCCUAAAAUCCAUUAGGUGUUCUUUGUUCAUGCAGGCAGGUUUCUGCCGCAUUUGAUGUGGAGGCAGUGAAGGGCUUGCCCUGCUGGCCUCUCAUCCCCCUUCUUCCCACAACCCUUGGGCAGGGCUGGACUCAGUAAUUUUGAGGAAAUUGAAGAUGCCAUCUUCCCCUGUGAGUGACAUGUCUUUAAUUUUUUAAAAAAC